rnacentral:tRNA from 1 species
GCGGGGUUAGUUCAAUGGUAGAACAGCGGCUUGUCGCGCCGCCGACGAGGGGUUCGAUCCCCCCAUCUCGCGCCA